AUUGAACGCUGGCGGCAGGCUUAACACAUGCAAGUCGAGCGGGGUGAUGGUGCUUGCACUAUCACUUAGCGGCGGACGGGUGAGUAAUGCUUAGGAAUCUGCCUAUUAGUGGGGGACAACAUCUCGAAAGGGAUGCUAAUACCGCAUACGUCCUACGUGAGAGAGCAGGGGAUCACUUGUGACCUUGCGCUAAUAGAUGAGCCUAAGUCGGAUUAGCUAGUUGGUGGGGUUAAGGCCUACCAAGGCGACGAUCUGGAGCGGGUCUGAGAGGAUGAGCCGCCACACUGGGACUGAGACACGGCCCCGAAUCCUACGGGAGGCAGCAGUGGGGAAUAUUGGACAAUGGGGGGAACCCUGAUCCAGCCAUGCCGCGUGUGUGAAGAAGGCCUUAUGGUUGUAAAGCACUUUAAGCGGGGAGGAGGCUCUUUUGGUUAAUACCCAAGAUGAGUGGACGUUACUCGCAGAAUAAGCACCGGCUAACUCUGUGCCAGCCGCCGCGGUAA
rnacentral:rRNA from 1 species